GCUCUUGUAGCCAAUUACUACGCAAUUUGUCACCACUUUCACUACCAUCGAAUCUGCUAUCUUUUAUUAAUAUGGAAGAGCAGUCAAGAUAUGCUAGCAACAGUUUAUUCAAGAGUCCUAAUAACCACCAUGUCGAGAAUCAAGGGGAAACCUGGACAAAUGGCGGGAAUCCAUCUAGAGGUUUGAAUCAACAGCUAAAUACUUCAGCUUCUCAGAUUGAUUUCAAGCACAGCAACAAAUGGAUUUUAAUAGCAGACCUUACUUUAAUACUGCUGCUCACCAGCAACAGUACUGUGGACCCAUUGAUUGGCCAGACAGAAUGAGUAGUAGAGAAGAAAUCCACAGAGACAAUGACGAGGUCAUGGAACAGGAAGAAAAAAGGUUUCAAAUGACCCUGUAUGGGCUAUAUUGCAAUGAGGGGAACAGGUGGUGCGUUGUUUUAGAAACAUACCAGUUUUGACCAUUACUGAUGAAGGCCCAGCAAGUCUGAAAAAAGAAAACACCAUGUCAUACUGUUUCACUGUAGCUAUGCACGAGUGACUCUGAAGAUUCAUGGAGAAACUAUAUCUUUGUCUUGAAAUGUAUUUGAAAGUUAACCCAGUGAAACUGUAUACAUAAUAAAAGGUA